GUGAGGAAUUUUCCGCAAUGGGCGAAAGCCUGACGGAGCAAUGCCGCGUGAAGGAUGAAGGCCUAUGGGUUGUAAACUUCUUUUCUCAGAAAAGAAUUAUGACGGUAUCUGAGGAAUAAGCAUCGGCUAACUCUGUGCCAGCAGCCGCGGUAAGACAGAGGAUGCAAGCGUUAUCCGGAAUGAUUGGGCGUAAAGCGUCUGUAGGUUGUUUAAAAAGUAUUCUGUCAAAGAUUAGGGCUUAACCCUAGAUAGGCAGAAUAAACUUUUAAGCUAGAGUUUGGUAGAGGCAGAGGGAAUUCCCAGUGGAGCGGUGAAAUGCGUAGAUAUCGGGAGGAACACCAAAGGCGAAGGCACUCUGCUGGGCCAAUACUAACACUGAGAGACGAAAGCGAGGGGAGCAAAUGGGAUUAGAUACCCUUGUAGUCC
rnacentral:rRNA from 1 species